AUAACGCAUUUGAUUUAAAUUUUCUAAUUAAUCUAACUCAGUCCAUACAUCGGACAAUUCAAGAGUUAAGUAUAGACAAUUUGUUUAGUCUGAAAACGGAACUUUUAGUGAAAACCGUAGAAAGUUAGUUUCAUUUUUUUUAAGUUCAUAUUAUAAUCACGAAAUGUGUACCCAAUAAUAUUUAUUAUUAUUAUUUUUUUUUUGUGUACACAAUUUUUACCAGAUAUAUUGCUUCGAUUUUCAAGUGUAGUACUUUUUCUGAAAGAUUAUUUUUGAUUUUCCAAGCAUUUCACAUUUACGAAAUGUGUGAUUUUAAAAUCGUAAAUAGACCGUAACCUUUCAAAACAUAUAUAACCGAACUCCACUCAGAAUCGUUUUUGGUUAGCAAAGAUUAAUUGUUGCACACAGAUAUACAAUAAAUUCCCUUUUAUAGCUUACCUUCCUAACUUCUCUCUAUAAUAGUGGCCCACCCAAGUCUGUAACUUUUUUAGUAUACAAAUCUAAUUAUUUUUGUUGAUUUAUGGGUUACUUUUGGUAACACGAAUGCAAAAAAUAACAUUGUUAUUCAUUUUUUGUAAUGUGAUCCCUGUGAUUUGCGGGUAUCUAUGGUAAUAUCAUACAACGAUAAUGCAUGUAUUUAUUAAUUUUAUUUAGAAACUUUUUUAUUGUACGGAC